rnacentral:lncRNA from 1 species
GUCAGUGGGAGGAGGGGAAGGUGGUGCCGAUCAAAAUGGGCGGUUGAUGAAGGAGGGUUAUGCGAUGAUGAAUUACAAUCAUCAAUGCCGGGAGAGCAGCUUGCAUAUACAGCAUGUACGGCAUGCACGGCACGCGACCGCAUUAUUUGUAAGGUGGUUGUGGAUGUGUGUAUAGGAAUGUGUAUGUGUGUGUAUGUGUGUGUAUGUGUGUGUAUGUGUG